UACAGAGGGUGCGAGCGUUUAAUCGGAAUUACUGGGCGUAAAGCGCGCGUAGGCGGCUUUGCAAGUCGGGUGUGAAAUCCCCAGGCUUAACCUGGGAACUGCAUUCGAGACUGCAUUGCUAGAGUAUGGGAGAGGGAAGUGGAAUUUCCGGUGUAGCGGUGAAAUGCGUAGAUAUCGGAAGGAACAUCAGUGGCGAAAGCGACUUCCUGGACCAAUACUGACGCUCAUGUGCGAAAGCGCGGGGAGCAAACAGG
rnacentral:rRNA from 1 species